AUUGAACGCUGGCGGCAGGCUUAACACAUGCAAGUCGAGCGGAGAUGAGGUGCUUGCACCUUAUCUUAGCGGCGGACGGGUGAGUAAUGCUUAGGAAUCUGCCUAUUAGUGGGGGACAACAUUCCGAAAGGAUGCUAAUACCGCAUACGUCCUACGGGAGAAAGCAGGGGAUCUUCGGACCUUGCGCUAAUAGAUGAGCCUAAGUCGGAUUAGCUAGUUGGUGGGGUAAAGGCCUACCAAGGCGACGAUCUGUAGCGGGUAUGAGAGGAUGAUCCGCCAAACUGGGACUGAGACACGGCCUAGACUCCUACGGGAGGCAGCAGUGGGGAAUAUUGGACAAUGGGGGGAACCCUGAUCCAGCCAUGCCGCGUGUGUGAAGAAGGCCUUAUGGUUGUAAAGCACUUUAAGCGAGGAGGAGGCUACUGAGACUAAUACUCUUGGAUAGUGGACGUUACUCGCAGAAUAAGCACCGGCUAACUCUGUGCCAGCAGCCGCCGUAA
rnacentral:rRNA from 1 species